rnacentral:rRNA from 1 species
AGCAGCCGCGGUAAUUCCAGCUCCAAUAGCGUAUAUUAAAGUUGUUGCAGUUAAAAAGCUCGUAGUUGAAUUUCGGGGUUAGUAGGUUGGUUAUGCCUCUGGUAUGUACUGGUCUCACUGAUUCCUCCUUCCUGAUGAGCCGUAAUGCCAUUAAUUUGGUGUCAUGGGAAAUCAGGACUGUUACUUUGAAAAAUUAGAGUGUUUAAAGCAGGCUCACGCUUGAAUACAUUAGCAUGGAAUAAUGAAAUAGGACGUUCGAUCCUAUUUUGUUGGUUUCUAGGAUUGACGUAAUGAUUAAUAGGGAUAGUUGGGGGCAUUAGUAUUCAAUUGUCAGAGGUGAAAUUCUUGGAUUUAUUGAAGACUAACUACUGCGAAAGCAUUUGCCAAGGAUGUUUUCAUUAAUCAAGAAC